UAAGUUAGAAAGGGCGCACGGUGGAUGCCUUGGCACUAGGAGCCGAUGAAGGACGGGACAAACACCGAUAUGCUUCGGGGAGCUGUAAGUAAGCGUCGAUCCGGAGAUUUCCGAAUGGGGGAACCCACUGUCCGUAAUGGGACAGUAUCCAUACGUGAAUUCAUAGCGUAUGGAGGGCAUACCCGGGGAACUGAAACAUCUAAGUACCCGGAGGAGAAGAAAGCAAACGCGAUUCCCUGAGUAGCGGCGAGCGAAACGGGAACAGCCCAAACCAAGAGGCGUGCCUCUUGGGGUUGUAGGACACUCAACACGGAGUGACAAAGGAACGGAGUAGACGAAGCGGUCUGGAAAGGCCCGCCAGAGGAGGUAACAGCCCUGUAGUCGAAACUUCGUUCCCUCCUGAGUGGAUCCUGAGUACGGCGGGACACGUGAAAUCCCGUCGGAAGCAGGGAGGACCAUCUCCCAAGGCUAAAUACUCCCUAGUGACCGAUAGUGAACCAGUACCGUGAGGGAAAGGUGAAAAGCACCCCGGGAGGGGAGUGAAAGAGAACCUGAAACCGUGUGCCUACAAGUAGUCAGAGCGCAUUCAUGCGUGAUGGCGUGCCUUUUGUAGAAUGAACCGGCGAGUUACGGUGGCGUGCGAGGUUAAGUCGAAAAGACGGAGCCGUAGCGAAAGCGAGUCUGAAUAGGGCGUAUAGUACGUCGCCGUAGACCCGAAACCAGGUGAUCUACCCAUGUCCAGGGUGAAGGUAGGGUAACACCUACUGGAGGCCCGAACCCACGCACGUUGAAAAGUGCGGGGAUGAGGUGUGGGUAGGGGUGAAAUGCCAAUCGAACUUGGAGAUAGCUGGUUCUCCCCGAAAUAGCUUUAGGGCUAGCCUCAAGAAAAGAGUCUUGGAGGUAGAGCACUGAUUGGGCUAGGGGCCCUCAUCGGGUUACCGAACUCAGUCAAACUCCGAAUGCCAAAGACUUAUGCUUGGGAGUCAGACUACGAGUGAUAAGAUCCGUGGUCAAAAGGGAAACAGCCCAGAUCACCAGCUAAGGUCCCAAAGUAUACGUUAAGUGGAAAAGGAUGUGGAGUUGCCCAGACAACCAGGAUGUUGGCUUAGAAGCAGCCACCAUUUAAAGAGUGCGUAAUAGCUCACUGGUCGAGUGACUCUGCGCCGAAAAUGUACCGGGGCUAAACGUAUCACCGAAGCUGUGGGAUGACUUGCGUCAUCGGUAGGGGAGCGUUCUAAGGGCAGAGAAGCCGGACCGGAAGGACCGGUGGAGCGCUUAGAAGUGAGAAUGCCGGUAUGAGUAGCGAAAACAGAGGUGAGAAUCCUCUGCACCGAAAGCCUAAGGUUUCCUGAGGAAGGCUCGUCCGCUCAGGGUUAGUCGGGACCUAAGCCGAGGCCGAAAGGCGUAGGCGAUGGACAACAGGUAGAGAUUCCUGUACCACCUCCUCUCCGUUUGAGCGAUGGGGGACGCAGGAGGAUAGGGCAAGCGCGCGACUGGUAGUGCGCGUCCAAGCAGUUAGGCGCCUCAAGUAGGCAAAUCCGCUUGAGUAGGCUGAGCUGUGACGGCGAGGGAAAACUAGUACCGAAGUUCCUGAUUCCACACUGCCAAGAAAAGCCUCUAGCGAGGAGAGAGGUGCCCGUACCGCAAACCGACACAGGUAGGCGAGGAGAGAAUCCUAAGGUGCGCGGGAGAACUCUCGUUAAGGAACUCGGCAAAAUGACCCCGUAACUUCGGGAGAAGGGGUGCUCUGUUGGGUGAAAAGCCCGAGAGAGCCGCAGUGAAAAGGCCCAAGCGACUGUUUAACAAAAACACAGGUCUCUGCGAAGCCGAAAGGCGAAGUAUAGGGGCUGACACCUGCCCGGUGCUGGAAGGUUAAGGGGAGCGCUUAGCGCAAGCGAAGGUGCGAACCGAAGCCCCAGUAAACGGCGGCCGUAACUAUAACGGUCCUAAGGUAGCGAAAUUCCUUGUCGGGUAAGUUCCGACCCGCACGAAAGGUGUAACGACUUGGGCACUGUCUCAACGAGAGACCCGGUGAAAUUAUAGUACCUGUGAAGAUGCAGGUUACCCGCGACAGGACGGAAAGACCCCGUGGAGCUUUACUGCAGCCUGAUAUUGAAUUUUGGUACGACAUGUACAGGAUAGGUGGGAGACGGAGAAGCCGGGACGCCAGUCUCGGUGGAGUCGCCCUUGGGAUACCACCCUUGUCGUACUGAAGUUCUAACCCGCACCCCUGAUCGGGGUGGGAGACAGUGUCAGGUAGGCAGUUUGACUGGGGCGGUCGCCUCCUAAAGCGUAACGGAGGCGCCCAAAGGUUCCCUCAGAAUGGUUGGAAAUCAUUCGUAGAGUGUAAAGGCAGAAGGGAGCUUGACUGCGAGACCUACAAGUCGAGCAGGGACGAAAGUCGGGCUUAGUGAUCCGGUGGUUCCGUAUGGAAGGGCCAUCGCUCAACGGAUAAAAGCUACCCGGGGAUAACAGGCUUAUCUCCCCAAGAGUCCACAUCGACGGGGAGGUUUGGCACCUCGAUGUCGGCUCAUCGCAUCCUGGGGCUGUAGUCGGUCCCAAGGGUUGGGCUGUUCGCCCAUUAAAGCGGUACGCGAGCUGGGUUCAGAACGUCGUGAGACAGUUCGGUCCCUAUCCGUCGCGGGCGUAGGAAAUUUGAGAGG
rnacentral:rRNA from 1 species